AAUUUUAUAUGUUAACAAAUACACAAUAUUUCACAAUGAUAGAGGGAAGAAAAAGGCCAUGAGGUGUCUCAUACAGAGUUUUUUUUUUUUUUUUAUGACACAUGCAAAGGACGGGACUCUUGUCGAUUAAAGAUUAGCCAAUUUGAUGAAUCAAAUGCAAAAUUUCAUGGCUCAAGAUUCUGGGAGUUCGGGUGGGGCAAAUGGCUCUUCCUCAGAAGAUGUUUAUGCUCGUGUAAUGGGAGAAGAGCGUCGUGGUUGAGUACGUGGGGUAAGGUUGGGUCCAACUCCAACUAGUAUUAGAAGCUGUGAUAAGUAUGCUGCAUUGCUGAGAGAAUCAGAUGAGGCUAGAAGAAAGGCUGAGGAACGGGAAAGAGCAUCUGAGGAACAUGCAAAGAAGGUUGGGAUGGAAGUGUCUACUUCGAGGGCGGACUGGUUAUCCAUGCAAAAUCAAAUGAAUGAUUUCAUUUCAAAUACGAAGACAUUAUUCGUCUACUCCCUUCUCUCAGUUUAGUGGCCAUUUUCAACUCUGAAACACAAAAUAUUCUGGACGGUUUUGAAGUUGAUUUACUAAGCCUCAUCGAAAACCAGAAAAUUCUUGUGGCAGAAGGAAUAGUCAUUAGCUCAGAUCCAUCAAAAGUUGUAGGGCCCCAAACACUGGUCAAUGAUGGUAUGAGGUUAUGGUUACUGUCCCAAUAUUGCCAGAACAACCACUUGUUCGUCCAUAUGGCUCAGUUAGAACAGUUGGAACAGUUGUUGGGGCAAAUAUUCCUUGGCUAUCUCUAUAUAUUUGUCUUUGGUGUGACAGCAUUGCUUCCACUGAUAACAUCUACUGUUGUUCUUGUUAAAGGACAACUUAUGUCUAGAUAUAAUCUUUCUCUGUCAGGUCCUGGCUUUUUUGAGAGCUCAAAACAGAAUAUAAUUCAGCUAUGGAAUGCUGUCAGGCCGCCUAAUGUAUUUUUGCCCACCUUAUUCAUCUUCCUGUGGCAAGCAACUCCGCAAUCAGGACAAACAGACUUGGUUUCACCCCAUAAUUUUUAGGUCGUGUCAAGCUUGUUACUCCAGUCACAUCAUUGAUAGGUGUUGGACUGUAUAAUGGAUUUUUGAAGAAUGUUCCCUUGCAGAAGAUUUUUCUAUCUACAACCAUUAUAGGUAGGGGAGUUUUAGGAUUAUCAAUUCCUGGUUGCCCUGAAGCGUUCCAAUUAUUCUGGCAAGAUGAACAAUCCAAGGAAGAAGGUUGUAGAAGCCAAAGAUCAGGGGAAGGCAGUCAAAGAUCAAAGGAACAAUAAAUUGUCAUAGAUCAAUAAUUUUAUUUGAACAAUUUGUUUUGGAUACUAUAAUGAUUAAUCUUUAUAUUARUAGAUUGAGUUUUACAUUUAAACUUUUAUUCAAGUUGUUUAAGUUUCCAUAUAUCAAUUUGCAACAGUGUAUUAAGUAUGUAUUAUAGUGGUGGAUCAAUA